GCAAACUUGGUCAUUUAGAGGAAGUAAAAGUCGUAACAAGGUUUCCGUAGGUGAACCUGCGGAAGGAUCAUUAAUGAAUGACUUGGUCGAGCUGUUGCUGGUCCUUCGGGGCAUGUGCACGCUCGCCGCCAAUUCUCAACCACCUGUGCACCUUCUGUAGACUGGAAACGUUUCUCGAGGCAACUCGGAUUUGAGGACUGCCGUGCGCAAGCCGGCUGUCCUUGUGUUUCUCAGUCUAUGUUUUCAUAUACUCCGAAUGUAUGUAUCAGAAUGUAUUGCUGGGCCUUUGCGCCUUUAAAUCAAAUACAACUUUCAACAACGGAUCUCUUGGCUCUCGCAUCGAUGAAGAACGCAGC
rnacentral:misc_RNA from 1 species